rnacentral:lncRNA from 1 species
CCGCCAGCGACCGAGCGGGGCUCGGCCCGAGCGGGGCCUGGGGGUGCGACGCCGAGGGCGGGGGAGCGCGCGCCGCUGCUCCGGACCGGGCCGCGCGCGCCACCUCAGCUCUGCAGCAGCCUCCGUCGGAAGAGAUCCAGGCUCCAGCUGCYUCAAGCUGCCAUUACUGUCCCUCUGUUUCGUCUGGAGCGUGCCUGAGCUGUCCUUGAUUCUGUGGCUGACGUCUUGAGGAAUACAAUCCCGCAUUGGGGCGGCUCCGACUCCUCCUGAGCAGCAGCUGCCCGACAGGAAGAGGUUCUGCCGGUUCCUGGAGCUCCUGUCACCCCGCAGCCUGCGCCCCCUGGAGCUCGCCAGGAAGCUGGAGUGGGUAAGUGGGCCUGGCUGCCUCGUGGCUGUAUGAGGCCCGACACCAUGCCUGCUCUGGGCGGUGGCUCUGGSCUGCACCCUGGGAGGGGGCGGUGGCCCGCCUGGUUCUGGGGCCUGUGACGUCUGGGGUCAAGUCAUCCAAACAUGGGAGGCUCCACCUUGGGGCAGAGGUGGCUCUU